rnacentral:lncRNA from 1 species
GAAAGCCGACUCGCGCAGGACGCAUUGAAGCGGACACAGCCUGCAGUGAAAAACAACACGACGGCGGGAUGACGGAUUUCUUGCGAGUCAGCAACGAUAUAUGCAGACGUGGCAAAGCAAAGGAAAAGUGGGCUCUGGGACGAUGUGAUGCAGGAAAGCCCUCUACGAUGGAUCGCAUGCACGCGAAACUGUAGAUGCUUCAAGCAACGUUAGUGCGCGCGCCUUUAUCGACCAUGCCCUCCUCUGCCGAAAGUUGCGUUGAUCUGUUUGCAACGACAAUUCCUAUCUUUUUGAGGCUGCUCCAUAGACACACCACUGCGCACAUGACGAACCAACUUCUGUGCUGAUCUGCACAGAACAUCAAAGGAAAAUUAUACUUUCCACAAAUCCCUUAAAGCUUAUGAAGCGCUGAAGACAAAAAAACACUGACACUGCAUGUUCGCCCUGCUUGUUUCAUAUAGUGCAAAAUGCUGUACAAAAACAGAACAACUGCUGCUUUGCUGAGGGUUUAACUCUUUGGCUGCAGUUGUGACUCCAGAGCGCCAAGUUUCGACUGACUGAUCAUUUGGACAUACAUACCCCAACUGCAACCACAAGCAAGAACUGCCAUUAGUGCCGACAGAGACAUAGGCCCAAGAACCUGCAUACCAACAGACCUUUUUCAAGCACACGAGCGCCACCAAUGGGCGCGCAAGCGCUCAUGGGAUGUGUACGCCGCAGCAGCCGCC